UCAUGUAUGUGACUUGCACAAAAGCACCCUCGAAACCAUGGGAACAUGUGUUUUUUUGGGAGGGAACUGCACAGGUAUUUAGAGAAAGCAGGAGAAGCGGUGAACGGUGCAGGACCAGACUGGGGACAAGAGACUUAGGAAGGGCAUGUGGGAGAUCUGUAAAGGACCACUGCAGGAGGCAGAUUCCAAAAAAAGAGAGAUUCUGAUGCAGGCAUUGGAAUGGGAAAGCUCAGCGGAUGCAAGGCAGCAGGGAGCUCACUGGAAAACUAACUAAUCCCUUUUCUCCAAGCUAGAGGUAGCCAAGGAUGGAGCUUACCUCUUCUAGUCUGCCAGUGGCUUUAGAAAUUUUAAGGCAACCUAAAUUAAACCUGGCCCCUGAUGGGUCUUCUGCCUUCCUAAAUCCAAUUAGCCAAUCAUGACUUUUCACUUAACUGCAAUGUCUUUAAUUGGAUCAAAAUAACAACAGGAAGCAUAGAAAAUUACAGGAAUUUACUUAGCAUGCAGGGCGGAGCCUUGCAGCUGGGAUCAUCAUUAUCUCUAGCACAGGUUGAAGAGUUCAUCAGAGGUGUAAAAUCUCCAUGAACAGUUCUCAAUAUCAUGUAUAGAGCUUUUUCAUCUUUGUUUAAGCUACAGACAUCCACAUAGAAAGCUAUAAUAGGUGUGGUGGUACAGCUUGCUGUUCCUCUGCAUGUGCACUCUAGCCAGCAAAAUUUGACUGCAUGCAAUACCUCCUUUGCACUUGGUGGCGUGAAGGGGCUUUUGGACAAAUGAAAUGCCUUUGAAUGGCCUCCAAAUCUUUAAAGUUGGGCACAGGCUAUGCAGAACUGAGGCCUUUGGGCAGCAGUUUUCUUUUGAACUGCCAUUCAGAAGUGCUGGGGCUGUAUUGAAACACAAUAGCUCCAAAAUGUGCAUUCUUGUCAUGUUACUGGACAUGGGGUAGCACCACCAGAUGAGCUUUAAAAGCCAAAUCCCAGCGUAGCAAGGCAACAAUGACAAUGCAUUAGCACCAGCACAGGACUUGGCGCUGACAGAGAUGAUCUAGCAAUGCUACUAAUAAGAUACACACUUCUUCUAAAGAGUUGUGUCAUUGGGAUGCUCACUGGGAUGUGGGAAAGAGGGGAUAUGGCUGGCACCUGCAACAUUUUUUGAGCAUGAUUUGGAAUGGGAUUCUGGAGAUCAAAACAUACGUAAGAGAUUCCAGCACAGCGAGAGAAGAAGGAAAGCUUCCAAAUGCUUCUUAUGCAGCUGAAUGACAUCAAAAUGCAGGCUGAGGGUUCAUAUCUGAGCCUCUUGGAACAAUGAUAUUCCCGAGGAAAACUUGAUCCAGAUGGAUCCAGUUGCCCAAAUAGACACAGGAAUGUAUGAAGCACAGGAUCUACCUGGAUGUCUGUGUUUAUUAAGCCUGCAUCCACAGGAGAGUGUCUUACUGGCUGAGCAGUGUGUAUCAUGCCUCAAGGGUCUGCGUUUGCAUGUGUUAAUCAGUCUGGGUGGGUUUGUCUGGGUAUACCUGUGACACGUGUGCUUAAGCAGUGUGGGUGCAAGCAGUGUUGUUGGUUUAGUAGCUGGCAUGCAGAUCUGGGAGAAUCAUAGUAUCACAGAAUGGUUGAUGUGGGAAGGGGAACUUCUUGUCCAACCCCACUUCUCAAGCAGGGCCACCCAGAGUCAGUUGCCCAGGACCAUACUCAGGCAUCCCUCCUGGUCUUCCUGGCUGUAGUUGCAACCACAAAGAAAGUUACAAGGCUCAGUUAGGCAGCACUGGCCCUGUCAGUAAAUAAUUGUGCAGUUCAGGCUUUAGUUUGGGCUUUUUUUUUUUUUUUUUUUUCCCGCUGGAUUUGACUCCAUAGAGAAUCGGCCAGACUGUGCUGAGCUGGUCCCAUCUGCACCCAACCUGGAGAGCAGCUUUAUCUUGCCUUGUAAAACUGCAGAGCUCUGUGACAAAAGAGUUAAUCUCUGCCUUUGUUUCUCUUCCUCUCUCUCUUCUCUCUUGCAGUGGGACUGAAAGGCAAGAUGAGAGCAGAUCCAUCAGUGUCAGCUGCUUUCAGCACAUCAGCACUUUUGGGGGGUUUAUUGGGGACUAGCCCAUCAGCAGCGCUUCCAAACUGCAAACAUGCUGCAGACAGGCCCCUCCUCCCAUGCAGCAGCCAGGCUGCCUGGGGAAGGAGCGCCGGGACCCCAGUGCCACUGGCUAGGGACUGGGUGAUAAAUGACUGCAUGAGGCAUCUCCACGGCUAGUAAAGUCCAGAGGGUAGGCCAGAGCCAAGCUUCUGGAGAGGCAGCAAUGAAACCAUGUUAAUUCCUGGGCUUGCAUCCAUGUGUGUCUGUGUGUCUGUACUGUCUGAAAUAAUACACUUGACACAAACACACAUGCUUCACUUCCAGCACACACAGUAACACGGAAGAGGGGUGAAAGAGAAAAUAACCUGAUUGACAGGUUAAUGAAGCAGUUCAUAACAGCAAAGUAUAUUAUAACCUUAGAAACAGCUUGUAAAUACCCAGUUGCUUUACAUGUAUAAACAUACUUCCCUGCCUAGCUCUGCGUAUAUACAUUUGCCAAUAUAUGAAAUGAACGUGCCUGUUUA